GGGCCCUGCUCAUUGAGUUUACAUGUUAGAGGGAGUGGGGUAUAGUGACACAGUAACAGAGGGAUUGGGGGCCUGCUCAGUGAGUUUACAUGUUAGAGGGAGUGGGGUAUAGUGACAGUAACAGAGGGAUUGAGGGCCCUGCUCAGUGAGUUUACAUGUUAGAGGGAGUGGGGUAUAGUGACAGUAACAGAGGGAUUGAGGGCCUGCUCAGUGAGUUUACAUGUUAGAGGGAGUGGGGUAUAGUGACACAGUAACAGAGGGAUUGAGGGCCUGCUCAGU